rnacentral:rRNA from 1 species
AUGCACGCUGGCGGCGUGCUUAACCCCUGCAAGUCGAACGAUGAAGCCCAGCUUGCUGGGUGGAUUAGUGGCGAACGGGUGAGUAACACGUGAGUAACCUGCCCUUAACUCUGGGAUAAGCCUGGGAAACUGGGUCUAAUACCGGAUAGGAGCGUCCACCGCAUGGUGGGUGUUGGAAAGAUUUAUCGGUUUUGGAUGGACUCGCGGCCUAUCAGCUUGUUGGUGAGGUAAUGGCUCACCAAGGCGACGACGGGUAGCCGGCCUGAGAGGGUGACCGGCCACACUGGGACUGAGACACGGCCCAGACUCCUACGGGAGGCAGCAGUGGGGAAUAUUGCACAAUGGGCGCAAGCCUGAUGCAGCGACGCCGCGUGAGGGAUGACGGCCUUCGGGUUGUAAACCUCUUUCAGUAGGGAAGAAGCGAAAGUGACGGUACCUGCAGAAGAAGCACCGGCUAACUACGUG